rnacentral:rRNA from 1 species
UUGGAGGGCAAGUCUGGUGCCAGCAGCCGCGGUAAUUCCAACUCCAAUAGCGUAUAUUAAAGUUGUUGCAGUUAAGAAGCCCGUAGUUGAACUUCGGGACCGGUGGGUUGGUCGUGCCUCCGGUACGUACUGGUCUUACUGGUUCCUCCCUUCUGAAGAACCACGAUGUCAUUAAUUUGGUGUCGUGGGAAAUCAGGACUGUUACUUUGAAAAAAUUAGAGUGUUUAAAGCAGGCUAAAGCUUGAAUAGAUUAGCAUGGAAUAACGAAAUAGGACGUUUGAUCUUAUUUUGUUGGUUUCUAAGAUCGACGUAAUGAUUAAUAGGGAUAGUUGGGGGCAUUAGUAUUCAAUUGUCAGAGGUGAAAUUCUUGGAUUUAUUGAAGACUAACUACUGCGAAAGCAUUUGCCAAGGAUGUUUUCAUUAAUCAAGAACGAAAGUUAGGGGAUCGAAGACGAUCAGAUACCGUCGUAGUCUUAACCAUAAACUAUGCCGACUAGGGAUCGGAUGAUGUUAAUUUUUUAAUGACUCAUUCGGCGCCUUACGGGAAAC